ensembl:lncRNA
UCUGCUAUUCCUUCUGUAAUGACUGGCAGCCCGCAGCACCUGGUAAACUGUGAAAUUUGGAAAUUAGUGCGCUGCUGAAAACAAAUUGCUUUGUUGAUGCAGAACGUCGGCGGAGAAAAAAGAGAAAGAGGGAAAAGUUAAGGAGAAACAAAAGAAAAUCAUCUUUGACAUUGGCUGUGGAAACGUGGGCUCGUCUCCGGCGUGCUUCGGUGUGAUCCACACUGCGUCUUCUGGUGUGCGAACACGGGGUCGCCCCGACUGAUGGCACGGACCCACCGGGCAGCAACGCAGGAGAGAGGCGUCUUCUUAUCCUGUCCAUCAUCAACCCCCCCCGUCUCUAAACUGCAAAG